rnacentral:hammerhead_ribozyme from 1 species
CACUGCUGAAGAGUCCCACGAUUGGGCGAAACGGCCGUCCAGUGG